AGAUGUAUAAGGGGGUGCUUGGGCGAUUGCCCUUGCUGAGAAUAUACCCAACAACCUGAUCCGGAUAAUGCCGGCGUAGGUAGGACUACCCUCAUUUUUU
rnacentral:ncRNA from 1 species